UACGUAGGGCGCAAGCGUUGUCCGGAAUUAUUGGGCGUAAAGAGCUCGUAGGCGGCUUGUCGCGUCGAUUGUGAAAGCCCGGGGCUUUAACCUCGGGUCUGCAGUCGAUACGGGCUGGCUAGAGUGUGGUAGGGGAGAUCGGAAUUCCUGGUGUAGCGGUGAAAUGCGCAGAUAUCAGGAGGAACACCGGUGGCGAAGGCGGAUCUCUGGGCCAUUACUGACGCUGAGGAGCGAAAGCGUGGGGAGCGAACAGG
rnacentral:rRNA from 1 species